rnacentral:rRNA from 1 species
GUGCACCAGGCGCGAAUACUCCGCAAUGCCCGAAAGGGUGACGGGGGGAUUCCAAGUGCCUACGCUUAGCGUAGGCUGUUCAGGUGCCUAAAAAGCACCUGGAGGAAGGGCCGGGUAAGACGGGUGCCGAUCUGUGGCAGCAGCCAAGAUUUGGCUUGCUACUGCAAGGCAUAAGCCGCCGCGGUAAUACCCGCAGCCCGAGUGGUAGUCGCUUUUAUUGGGCCUAAAGCGUCCGUAGCCGGUCUGGUAAAUGCCUGGGUAAAUCGUGGGGCUUAACCUCACGAAUUCCGGGUAGACUGCCAGACUUGGGACCGGUUGAGGGAGAGGGUACUCCAGGGGUAGGGGUGAAAUCAGCAAGGUAAGCUGAUGUAACUUGCC